rnacentral:rRNA from 1 species
UGUCUAACCGCGGUCCGUUAUCCGGAUCCGGGACAGUGUAUGGUGGGUAGUUUGACUGGGGCGGUCGCCUCCCAAAGAGUAACGGAGGCGUGCGAAGGUGGGCUCAGAGCGGUCGGAAAUCGCUCGUUGAGUGCAAUGGCAUAAGCCUGCCUGACUGCGAGACUGACAAGUCGAGCAGAGACGAAAGUCGGCCAUAGUGAUCCGGUGGUCCCGCGUGGGUGGGCCAUCGCUCAACGGAUAAAAGGUACGCCGGGG